rnacentral:rRNA from 1 species
GUGCCAGCCGCCGCGGUAACACGAAGGGGGCUAGCGUUGCUCGGAAUUACUGGGCGUAAAGGGCGCGUAGGCGGACAGUUUAGUCAGAGGUGAAAGCCCAGGGCUCAACAUUGGAAUAGCCUUUGAUACUGGCUGUCUUGAGUGCGGGAGAGGUGUGUGGAACUCCGAGUGUAGAGGUGAAAUUCGUAGAUAUUCGGAAGAACACCAGUGGCGAAGGCGACACACUGGCCCGUUACUGACGCUGAGGCGCGAAAGCGUGGGGAGCAAACAGGAUUAGAUACCCUGGUAGUCCACGCUGUAAACGAUGAGUGCUAGUUGUCGGCAUGCAUGCAUGUCGGUGACGCAGCUAACGCAUUAAGCACUCCGCCUGGGGAGUACGGUCGCAAGAUUAAAACUUAAAUGAAUUGGCGGGG